rnacentral:rRNA from 1 species
UACGUAGGGCGCAAGCGUUGUCCGGAAUUAUUGGGCGUAAAGAGCUCGUAGGCGGUUUGUCGCGUCUGCUGUGAAAAUCCGGGGCUCAACCCCGGACUUGCAGUGGGUACGGGCAGACUAGAGUGUGGUAGGGGAGACUGGAAUUCCUGGUGUAGCGGUGAAAUGCGCAGAUAUCAGGAGGAACACCGAUGGCGAAGGCAGGCCUCUGGGCCACUACUGACGCUGAGAAGCGAAAGCAUGGGGAGCGAACAGG